UACGUAGGGUGCGAGCGUUGUCCGGAAUUAUUGGGCGUAAAGAGCUUGUAGGCGGUUUGUCGCGUCUGCCGUGAAAAUCCGAGGCUCAACCUCGGACUUGCGGUGGGUACGGGCAGACUAGAGUGUGGUAGGGGAGACUGGAAUUCCUGGUGUAGCGGUGAGAUGCGCAGAUAUCAGGAGGAACACCGGUGGCGAAGGCGGGUCUCUGGGCCGAUAUCGACGCUGAGGAGCGAAAGCGUGGGGAGCGAACAGG
rnacentral:rRNA from 1 species